UACGUAGGGUGCAAGCGUUAAUCGGAAUUACUGGGCGUAAAGCGUGCGCAGGCGGUUCUAUAAGACAGAUGUGAAAUCCCCGGGCUCAACCUGGGAACUGCAUUUGUGACUGUAGAGCUGGAGUACGGUAGAGGGGGAUGGAAUUCCGCGUGUAGCAGUGAAAUGCGUAGAUAUGUGGAGGAACACCGAUGGCGAAGGCAGCCCCCUGGGUCAAGACUGACGCUCAUGCACGAAAGCGUGGGGAGCAAACAGG
rnacentral:rRNA from 1 species